GUUCUAGUUAUUUGUAUUAUAAGCUUCUGUGAAUGUUUUAAUUUUAAUAGCAGUAGUAGGAAGAUAUAUGGCAGUAGAAGCACUCAUAUACAUGCUAUUUAUUGAGGUAAAGUAAAUCAUCUUUGAGCAGUGUGAACAGACAGAAGCAUAGCUUUUAGAUCUGAAUUAUUGGUAAAUAACAGAUAGAUCAAGGUGGUAUGGAAAAAUGGUAGAGCAGGCAUAUUACAGAGACAACAGGCAGCU
rnacentral:lncRNA from 1 species